AUGAGGUCCAUAUGUAUUGAGGAAGCUCUUGCAGACAAUAAGGUUCAGUUUAGAAGUACAACCCACGUGGUCCCCCCCGACGGUGGGUGGGGCUGGGUGGUCGUGGCGGCGUCCUUCAUGUGCAACGUGGUCGUCGACGGUAUCAUCUUCUCCUGCGGGAUGCUGCUGCCGGUCCUGCAGAAGGAGUUCGGCGUCUCCAUGUCCGAGGUGUCGUGGGUCAGCUCGCUUCUAGGCGGGUUCUACCUCAUCGUGGGGUCCCUUCGUAUCAGCCCUGCGCCAACGGCCUACGGUUUUCGUGUCGUCUGCAUCCUGGGUUCCAUCGUCGCCUCCGUGGCCUUCGGGAUCUCCUACUUCGCUACAAGUAUCUACUUCUUGCAGUUCUCCUUCGGUAUUCUCGGAGGCAUCGGGUUCGGCUGCAUCUACGUGCCCCCGUCAUCGCGACCGGGCGGGUUCUACUUCGAGCGGCGCCGGGCACUGGCCACGGGCAUCGCCGUCUGCGGGUCGGGCAUCGGGACCUUCAUCUUCGCGCCUCUCAUGCCAAGCUGAUCUCUAGCUUCGGCUUUCAUCCAUCUUCAAAACAAUACCCGGAGCCUAACAAGAAGAUGUCUGAAGCUAACUUUCCCUUUCUCUGCUCGGCGCCACAGGCAUCAGUCUCUCGUGCGCGGUUUUCGGCCUUGCCUUCAAGCCGCUCAAGGCAGGACCCGCCCCUGUGGAACGACGACCUGGAGCCCCCAGGGAACGAAACUUCGGCUGAUGAGGUGGCGUAUCCUUCAGGGGAAGCGGCGGACUUGGGGAAAUGGGAAGGGGGAGCGUCCUGUAUUUACCAGGGAAGUGCCGCCGUCGCGAAGGCGUUUUUGGAACGGCAUGGCGGCAGUGCGCACAAGAGGUACAGCUUUCCGGGGAUUGUUGUCACCAACCCAGACACCAUCAAGGAGGAGACAGAGACACCACUCAUCGACGCCCGGUAUCCACGCAACAAGAGCGCGCCUGCUUUGGCUCAACCCAAUGCCUUCUCGGCUGAGCAACAUCGUCGCCCAUCAAGGCUUGCCAUGAGAACGGAGACUGCCAGGCCAUUCUACCGUGAUGACAUUUUCUACUCAGGGUCUCUGUUGCGUCUCCCAGAAUAUAAAAGCUCUGAUACAGUAGACAAAUACCACCAGUCUGUGACGCAACUUCCACCCAUGGAAGACAUAGCAGAGGAGGAGGACUCAGAAAGCAGAAUACGCUGCUGCCCAACUGCCCUUACAAAUGUCAUCUUCAGAAUCUUCGACUUCUCCCUCUUGGCUUCUGUUACCUUCGUAGUGCUGGGAAUCGCAGGGUUCCUGUCCCUCAUGGCUCUGUUUGUCCCCUUCAUGUUUCUGCCUGGUUAUGCUGAAUUACAAGGCGCUGAUGACGGUACCAAAGCCACUCUUGUCUCUACCAUUGGCAUCACGAACACCUUGGGCAGAAUUAUCUGUGGCUGGAUUUCAGAUCACCCUAAGGUUGAUGCCUUACACGUCAAUAACUUCUCCCUCAUGAUUGGCGGAGCUGCGACAAUGAUCUUGCCUUUCAUCUCAGAUCAGUCCCUCCUCCUUACCUAUUCAGUGGCCUUUGGUGUUUCAGUUGCUGCAUUCGCCUCUCUGCGUUCCAUCCUUUUGGUAGAGUUACUUGGCCUUGAGAAACUGACAAAUGCUUUUGGCCUUCUGCUGUUGUUCCAAGGCAUCGCAGCUCUUGUGGGCAGUCCUGUGGCAGGUGCAUUCGUCGAUGCCACAAAGUCAUACGAUGUGACCUUCUAUGUGUUUGGUGGAAUAUUUGCACUGUCAGGUCUAAUGUGCAUCCCUCUCCGUCUCAUCAAGCGAUGGGAAGACAACAGAAAGGAAAAGAAACUCCAGGAAGCAAAUGAAGAGAAAGCUUAAAACAAAUGCAAGUGAUGAUGAAUUUCUGGACAGUAUUUAAGAAGAAUAAAGUCUGUGUCUCACUCAGGCAUUUUGUGCAGGCCUUUCCAAUACUUCAGUGCAGAAGAUGCAUGAACACAUAACUAUGAUGAUAGAACAGCAUGUGGGGAUGAGGCACAUUGAUUUGAUGACAGAGAAUUAAAAUUAGAGACAGAUGCUUCUAAUGCUAACUUUCAUUUAAUUACAAUAGAAAUAAUGUUUGUUAACAAAAAAAAUUACUUGAUACAAUAGUUAUAAGCAUCUUUUUAUUUUUAUUAUUAGCAUAAAGAGGGUAGUAGGUCGUAUUUAUUACAUACUUGUCUUAACCUGAAUUCUGUCUAGCUCAUUAUCAAUGCAACUGUAAUUAGACAUAAGUUUUGUUAAUUUCUUAUAUGAAAUACAUACAGAUUUAUUUUUUAAGUUAUUGUGAUAUAAAUCUGAAGAAUAGAAAAAGCUGCUCAUGAAAAGGAGUUUGACUAAAGGUUUAUAAGAAAUCUCUUAGUUCUGCUACAAGUAUCCACUGAUACCUUUUUUUUUUUUUCUUUCUUUCUUUUUUACUUAAUUCUUUAAUUUUAUAAUCAGGAUCUGAGGUUUUUUAAUGACUUAUCUCAGAAUAUAUAUUCUUUUCUUUUACUGCUUGGAAAGAAAAGAAUGUCUUUGCGCUUCAAAAGUGAGUAAGUUAGCGAGGUAUUGACUUAUUUACUAUGCAAGAUGAAUCAGACAUGGCUAUCAAUCAUUUCUUCAAUUUACUUCAUUUUUCCCCUUAUUCAUUCUCUGAGCAGAAAUAUUUUUUACUUUUUUUUUGUCUGUUGGAGUUAACUAGUCUUAAUCCAGAUGGGAAUAGUGAUCUUCUCAAACUAUCUCAGAAUCCUUGUUUUUUUUUAAUUCAAAAAUUCUAGGUAGCUUCUAUUAGGUUUGCUAUGCUUACACAUUAUCUUCGUUCAUGAUAGCUUCCUACAGGAUGCAUAAUCAUGUGUAAUGUGUUGACAGAUAGUUUCAUGGAAACUAUGAAAUGUUACUAACAGUAAGAUCCAACAAGAUCACUUUUUUAUUUAAGGAAAGAGCAAAUCCUUAUUUUCUUUAACACUUAAAAGAACUAGAAAAUGUAAGUAUUCUUAACAAAUAAGGUUACCAUGAUUUUAUAUUACAUAAAUGUAAUAUAGGCCCCUCAACCAGUGAAAUGUUAAAUAUUGUACUAUACCUUUUAGGUUCUGUGACAGACGUAAAGGUAUUUUCUAUUUCAUUUACCUCUUAAUAAACAGCAGAUGCUAACCCUGCCUAGAUGAGAAUUGCAGGCAAUCACAAUGUGUAGCUACAAAGUAGAGUAUCCUGAAUAUUACACACUGGAUCUCUAGGUUGUGUUUUAGAGCUGCUAAUAAUAGAUAUACUAAUGGUUUAUACCUAAGUCAGAUACACUAUGUCAACAGUUGAAUUGCUAGUGUGUCCUAUGGCGAAAGGCAACUUUUGGCUGCCGCGAAAUUAGAAAAAAGGUUAUUAAAGACUAGUUAAGACAUAUAAUAUUAAAAACCAGCUUUGUUGGGUAAAGUUGCACUCUGGGUUAAAUUUAAGUGAAAAAUUGGCAAGAGCUAUAGUCACCACAGACAACCUGUUGGUGCCAGGUACAGGCACUGUAAUUUUGUUUUAUUAUUAUUGUUAGCACAUAGACUGCUUCAUGAGUCACCAAGGAGUCAAUUACUAGGCCUACCUGAUUUUACCUGUUUACCCACUCCCUGAUUUUUGGGGAAACACAAUUUCAGUUUCUAUUACCAUUGUUAUCCUUUUUAACAUUUCUAUUCUUGUUAACAUUACUUUGAACAACGUUAAUGAUAAAAAUGAAGAUUUUUUCUUGAAAAUAAAAUGAAGGAAAGGGGUAAAAAAAUGAGGUUAGGUAGGCCUAAUAAUUGAGUAGGUGUUUCCUCAGCCAUUUAUGUGUGAACAACGAUAAGAAAAGAAAACCACAGUGGAUAAAACAUCCAUACUCCUGACUUCAACAGGGGAAAAUGAGAACAAAAUCAAAUUCUGCAACUGAGUUUAAACAAUACUAAACCCUGGUACACCUUCCAAAGUUGCACAGUUUUAGACUUUCUCUGAGUGCAAGCACAGAGGCCUAGCUUCCAGGCACUGGUGGUUGCUGCUCACGUCCACUGUAUAAGCAAGCAUGUUAUGUAAAAGGAUGCAUAAACACUGAACACCAUGUCCUGGAUGUUUUAGGUAGACACUGAGGUGGUCCAGUUCAUCGUGUUCUGCAAGUGUGUAGAUGAGUACUUUUGAAGAAUGACAGAUCCAUAAAUGCAUUUUGUAUAGAAUAUAUUAUAUUUAAGAUACAUUAGUUUUUAUUAUUUUGUAUCUGAUGGAGUGAAGACAGUUCAAAUUAUGAAUAUCAUAACUCAACUCCAGUUAUCUACCAUUUUUCAUACACUAAUAUACUAGUACCUUUAAAGAACUCUUUUAAGAGAAAUGAUUUCUAACAAUAUCACUUAAAUGACACUGAUAUUCCAGAAGAUACACAAAGUGUUGGUAUUUCUAUUUUCUCUCUGUAUAGGAUAUGUUUCAUGAUAUCGUAAGAAAAAAAAAAUACGGUACCGUGAUAUCUUCUGCCAUGUUUGCUAUAUUUAUAACUAAGUAUUUAUUUGCACUACACUAAGCUAUUGUGGUGUGAUAAAGAAAUAAGUGAGAUUGCAAAGUGAUAGGAGAUCUUUAAUGGCUGGAUGUUAACUUGUUCAUAUUUUAUACAGCAAUAACUUGAAACUUUGUUUGUUUUACAUGGGGACACCUGGUAGAAGAUAUAACUAUAUUGUAAGUAUGUGUGUAAAUAUAAUGUUGUUACCCAUAUCUCUUUGAUGAUAACACCAUAUCUAAUUUCAUGCUGUCAUUAACAGGGUAUUCAGUAAAAUGCAAAGACAAAAUAAAAUUGCAUUAGAAAAGAAAAAGAGAAAAAAAGCUGUAGUGUUAGUCAUAUAUAUUUGUAACAUGUGAGCAUGUGAUAUUCAUAUUGCCCUAUGUUUAGGACUACACCUCUGAUGAUUAGUAUUGCAAUUACUGAGUAAUUAAAGACAGAAUUUUUUCACAAUUACCAGGCUUACAAGGCCUCUGGAAUAUGAUACAUCCAAAUGUUUAGUAUAAUACUUUUAUUGUGUGUAUAUAUAGUCACAAGUCAGCAAGCAGAAGCCUUUAUUCACAUGUAAUAGACAGGCCUUUUUACAUUAGUACACACUAACUAAUAAUGUAUUUAUUCUGACACUAAUUCAUUCAAUAUUUGCAAAGAACUCAGUACAGGCUGAUAAACCUAAUUUUCUUUGCAAACUUAAUAAUCAUGUGUAUGCAUGUAGGAAGGGCUGCCUAACAAACUAUGUAUAUUUCCUGUGAAGGCUUGGUAUGGAUAAGACUCAAUAAAGACUUUUUUCA